rnacentral:lncRNA from 1 species
GGGCAAAGUAGAUAAGAGAGUUCGGUGGGGUUCAGAGCGUUGUGCUGAAUCAUCAGGAAGGUGGUGAUGUCAUCAAUUAGGAAAGAAGAGUAGGCAUGGUGAUGUGAUUUAUUCCAGGAAUACUCCGAGGAGGUGUGUAUGAGACAUCCAGCAAGCGAAGAUGGGAGAAGUGUACACGCUGCCUGCUUUCAUCCUGAGGUCUGGGAGGCUAUUGGGUUAGACCUCCUGAAAAGAAAGGUUACUUGACACCAGGUAUAAGGAACGGCUUUGAUGAAUCACAGAAUUAAAGCGUUCAGUUCUUGGCAGGGGGAGCUUCUAGCCAAUGCAUUGAAAGGACAACCAUAUCCCCACCUGCUUGGAGACAGAACUACAGAUCUCAGCUGGCUUUCUGCAGACAGGACAGGUCACUGACUGGUUGUCUAAUAGACAACUUUUAAGCAGCAUCAGCAGACAAAAUGUUUCAUUCCUCAAAGAAGAAGUAGAAUAAAGGCCAGUAAGCUUGCAUCCUAUGGAGAAUGUAAGUAAAGAUGGCUUGAUCUAGCAAAAGUGUUCUUAUCUGGAAUUCUCCUUGAAGCACUUCCCAAAAUCAACCAGCCAAACAAAGAGUGGAAUAUAAUUUUUUAAUGUGCCCCAAAGGGAAAAAAACCACUAAGUUUUUUUUUUUUAUUCUUUGUCAUAUGCCAUUGGUUCAUAGUCCUGAGGUAUAUCUGAUAAGAAAAAUGUUACCUCAGAAAAUAAAAAUGUUCCUUAAAAAACAUGGCCUAAUCGAAUUUACCUUAGCUGAGGGUCAGAACUGAGCCAUCCCUUCCACCAAGUAUUUUUGCUUUUUCCUUUUUAACCGAACAGAACACACUGCUUCGGCAGUAUUCUGCUGUGGUUUAUAUCUGAAUUGAUCCUUCAAUAAUUGGAAGAGCUUUAAAUUUAAUAAAAAGGAGUUCUCAGACAAGCGUGGUGGUGGCAGGUAGCUCAGAUCUACACUCCCAGCUGCUCAAGAAAAGUAGGAAAAAAAAUAAAAACAGGACUGGAGAUGUAACUCAGUGGGUCUAGGGCUAUAAUAUCAGUGAUAGGCCAAGACCCCGUGUCAGAUCCCC